rnacentral:rRNA from 1 species
AUUGAACGCUGGCGGCAGGCCUAACACAUGCAAGUCGAACGAGUGGCGGACGGGUGAGUAAUGUCUGGGAAACUGCCUGAUAGAGGGGGAUAACUACUGGAAACGGUAGCUAAUACCGCAUACUAUCGGAUGUGCCCAGAUGGGAUUGGCUAGUUGGUGGGGUAAAGGCUCACCUAGGCGACGAUCCCUCGCUGGUCUGAGAGGAUGACCAGCCACACGGGAACUGAGACACGGUCCAGACUCCUACGGGAGGCAGCAGUGGGGAAUUUUGCACAAUGGGGGCAAGCCUGAUGCAGCCAUUCCGCGUGGAUGAAGAAGGCCUUCGGGUUGUAAAGUACUUUCAGCAGGGAGGCGUUACCCGCAGAAGAAGCACCGGCUAACUCCGUGCCAGCAGCCGCGGUAAUAC